AACGAACGCUGGCGGCAUGCCUAACACAUGCAAGUCGAACGAGACCUUCGGGUCUAGUGGCGCACGUGUGCGUAACGCGUGGGAACCUGCCCUUAGGUUCGGAAUAACUCCCCGAAAGGGGUGCUAAUACCGGAUAAUGUCUUCGGACCAAAGAUUUAUCGCCUUUGGCUGGGCCCGCGUUGGAUUAGCUAGUUGGUAGGGUAAAAGCCUACCAAUGCGACGAUCCAUAGCUGGUCUGAGAGGAUGAUCAGCCACACUGGAACUGAGACACGGCCCAGAAUCGUAGGGGAAGCAGAAGUGGGGAAUAGUGGACGAUGGGCGAAAGCCUGAUCCAGCAAUGCCGGGUGAGAGAUGAAGGGCUUAGUGUUGUAAAGCUCUUUUACCCGAGAUGAUAAUGACAGUACCGGGAGAAUAAGCUCGGGCUAAGUACGUG
rnacentral:rRNA from 1 species